rnacentral:rRNA from 1 species
CCNGCCNUGCCGCGUGCAGGAAGACUGCCCUAUGGGUUGUAAACUGCUUUUAUACAGGAAGAAACACUGCUACGUGUAGCAGCUUGACGGUACUGUAAGAAUAAGGAUCGGCUAACUCCGUGCCAGCAGCCGCGGUAAUACGGAGGAUCCAAGCGUUAUCCGGAAUCAUUGGGUUUAAAGGGUCCGUAGGUGGAUAAUUAAGUCAGAGGUGAAAUCCUGCAGCUCAACUGUAGAAUUGCCUUUGAUACUGGUUAUCUUGAGUUAUUAUGAAGUAGUUAGAAUAUGUAGUGUAGCGGUGAAAUGCAUAGAUAUUACAUAGAAUACCAAUUGCGAAGGCAGAUUACUAAUAAUAUACUGACACUGAUGGACGAAAGCGUGGGGAGCGAACAGGAUUAGAUACCCUGGUAGU